rnacentral:rRNA from 1 species
GACAGAGGUGCCGAGCGUUAGGCGGAAUCACUGGGCUUAAAGCGUGUGUAGGCGGGUCGUUAAGUGUCUUGUGAAAUCCCACGGCUCACCCGUGGAACUGCUGGGCAUACUGGCGAUCUUGGGCCAACUAGGGGCAACUGGAACAAGCGGUGGAGCGGUGAAAUGCGUAGAUAUCGCUUGGAACGCCGAAGGUGAAAACAGGUUGCUGGGGUUGUGCCGACGCUGAGACACGAAAGCCAGGGGAGCAAACGGG